rnacentral:rRNA from 1 species
AUACGUAGGGGGCGAGCGUUGUCCGGAAUGAUUGGGCGUAAAGGGCGCGUAGGCGGCCCGGUAAGUCUGGAGUGAAAGUCCUGUUUUUAAGAUGGGAAUUGCUUUGGAUACUGUCGGGCUUGAGUGCAGGAGAGGUAAGUGGAAUUCCCAGUGUAGCGGUGAAAUGCGUAGAGAUUGGGAGGAACACCAGUGGCUAAGGCGACUUACUGGAAUGUAACUGACGCUGAGGCGCGAAAGUGUGUGGAGCAAACAGGAUUAGAUACCCUGGUAAUCCACACUGUAAACGAUGAAUGCUAGGUGUAGGGGGUGUCGACCCCUUCUGUGCCGCAGUCAACACAAUAAGCAUGCCGCCUGGGGAGUACGGCCGCAAGGGUGAAACUCAAAGCAAUUGACGGGG